GACGAACGCUGGCGGCGUGCUUAACACAUGCAAGUCGAGCGGAAAGGCCACUUCGGUGGUACUCGAGCGGCGAACGGGUGAGUAACACGUGAGUAAUCUGCCCCUGGCUUUGGGAUAGCCACCGGAAACGGUGAUUAAUACCGGAUAUGACAGCUUCUCGCAUGAGUGGUUGUGGAAAGUCUUUUCGGCCAGGGAUGUGCUCGCGGCCUAUCAGCUUGAUGGUGAGGUAAUGGCUCACCAUGGCUUCGACGGGUAGCCGGCCUGAGAGGGAGACCGGUCACACUGGGACUGAGACACGGCCCAGACUCCUACGGGAGGCAGCAGUGGGGAAUAUUGGACAAUGGGCGGAAGCCUGAUCCAGCAACGCCGCGUGAGGGAUGACGGCCUUCGGGUUGUAAACCUCUUUCGCCUGUGACGAAGCGCAAGUGACGGUAACAGGUAAAGAAGCACCGGCCAACUACGUGCCAGCCGCCGCAGUAAGAC
rnacentral:rRNA from 1 species